GAUAAACGCUGGCGGCGUGCCUAAUGCAUGCAAGUCGCACGGAGCGACACUUCGGUGUUGUUGAGUGGCGAACGGGUGAGGAACGCGUGGACAACCUACCCCGGCGUGGGGGAUACCCGCCAGAAAUGGCGGCUAAUACCGCGUACGGUUGCUCGGCGAGGGGCCGGGCAAAGAAAGCAGCGAUGCGCGCUGGGAGGGGUCUGCGACCGAUUAGCUGGACGGCGGGGUGACGGCCCACCGNGGCGAUGAUCGGUAGCUGGUCUGAGAGGAUGAUCAGCCACACGGGGACUGAGAGACGGCCCCGACUCCUACGGGAGGCAGCAGCAAGGAAUUUUCCGCAAUGGGGGCAACCCUGACGGAGCAACGCCGCGUGACGGAUGACGCCUCUUGGGGUGUAAACGUCUUUUGCCGGGGGAGAGAGUGGACGGUACCCGGCGAAUCAGGACCGGCUAACUACGUGCCAGCCGCCGCAGUAAG
rnacentral:rRNA from 1 species